ACGCGCACUUGCAACCCGACGGGUGCAGCAGCUACUCCGCUAAAAAAGGCGCAGCUUGCCCGGCUCAGCGGCUGUUCCAUGAACCCUCCCUCGGCCCCGCAGUUCCCUGGGGCGGCCCCGCAGGCUUCUCUCAGCCCGUCCCGUCCACAGCGGCGGGAGGGGAAGCACGCGGCGUGGAACAGCCACGUCUGUCCUUGUGGUGCCUCAGCCUUCCCUCCGCCGCCCCCUGCGCUAGGCCUCAACCCGCCCGACUCCCCGAUAUAUACCUUCCAGCGCCUCGAAUAUCGCCUGCGCCAUCUUGGAGCUGAGGCAGCCGCAGCAGAGGAACCUAAACGGGCAUUGUGGGAAGGAAAGGGAGGCUCGCUCGGCCGCCAGGGGGAGCGCGAGGCGACGAGGGGAGGGGAGGGAAGGGGACGCUGGCUGGCUGGCUGGCUGGCUGGCUGAGGAAAGAGCUUCUCUGUGGGAAAGCGUGCGUCUGGGCUGGAAGGGGCCGGCCCGCCUCACAGCCGCUUUGGCGUGCGUGCAGCCGUAUUAGCCUAUGCGUGAUUAUUUGGAAGUACUUUCAACUGUGUUUAAUGGGGCUUAUUCCCAGGAUGUAUGGAAAAGAAAAUAUUAAUUAGCUUUGUAACCCAAACUGUUAAAAGAGAAACUUACACAAUAUUAAAAUGUACCUCAGAACCAUUGAAAA